UAUGCGCUGCGGCCUUCUCGACGAGGGAGACGACGUCGCCCAUGCCGAGGAUGCGGCCCGCAAUACGCGAAGGAUGGAAGUCUUCCAGCGCAUCGGUCUUUUCACCGGUGCCGAUCAGCUUGAUCGGCUUUCCGGGAAAGGGGCCGCAGCACCGCCACGUCCGUCGCCGUCGACGCGGGUCAGCACGAUGCCGGUGAGGCCGACGCGCUGAUCGAACGCGCGCGCGAGAUUGACGGCGUCCUGACCGGUG
rnacentral:misc_RNA from 1 species